rnacentral:misc_RNA from 1 species
GAUGAAGAACGCAGCGAAAUGCGAUAAGUAAUGUGAAUUGCAGAAUUCAGUGAAUCAUCGAAUCUUUGAACGCACCUUGCGCCCUUUGGCCAUUCCGAAGGGCAUGCCUGUUUGAGUAUCAUGAACACCUCAACUCUUCAUGGUUUUCCAUGAUGAGCUUGGACUUUGGGGGUCUUGCUGGCCUGUGGGUCGGCUCCUCUCAAAUGAAUCAGCUUGCCGGUUUUUGGUGGGCAUCACAGGUGUGAUAACUAUCUACGCUUGUGGUUUUCCACCAGGGUAACCUUCAGCAGUGGAGGUUCACUGGAGCUUACAAAUGUCUCUCCUCUGUGAGGACAGCCCUUUGAAUGUUUGAUCUCAAAUCGAGUAGGACUACCCGCUGAACUUAAGCAUAUCAAUAAGCGGAGGA